AACGAACGCUGGCGGCAUGCCUAACACAUGCAAGUCGAACGAGACCUUCGGGUCUAGUGGCGCACGGGUGCGUAACGCGUGGGAAUCUGCCCUUAGGUUCGGAAUAACAGUUAGAAAUGACUGCUAAUACCGGAUAAUGACGUAAGUCCAAAGAUUUAUCGCCUAGGGAUGAGCCCGCGUAAGAUUAGCUAGUUGGUGGGGUAAAGGCCUACCAAGGCUACGAUCUUUAGCUGGUCUGAGAGGAUGAUCAGCCACACUGGGACUGAGACACGGCCCAGACUCCUACGGGAGGCAGCAGUGGGGAAUAUUGGACAAUGGGCGAAAGCCUGAUCCAGCAAUGCCGCGUGAGUGAUGAAGGCCUUAGGGUUGUAAAGCUCUUUUACCCGGGAUGAUAAUGACAGUACCGGGAGAAUAAGCUCCGGCUAACUCCGUGC
rnacentral:rRNA from 1 species